CGGUGUGAGUGAAAUGCCGGUGGAGGCCACCACAGCCGUGCCCGGGGAUACGGCACCUAUCUCAAAGAUGAUGUGAUCUGCACGCUUGCGACACCCUGCACCGUCUCCUAAGACUCCGUACAUGAGGGAGAUUGCAAAGAAAGUGAAAAAAUAAGUGAGCAGUUCUUUUUUGUUUUGGCAAUUUCGACAGUACAAUUGCAUUCGAAAACUUAAAUGCCAUGAAAUUUGGAACCUGAUGUAUAAUUGCACUUAUUGAGCUCGUACUAAAUGCAAUAAAACUCUACUAUGAUACAGUUUAUAAUACAAAUGGAUUGAAUCACAAACUCUAUACACCUUUCUGAAAUUCUAUCAAACGUUUUGUUAUUUUGUGAGGUGAUCGAUAAAGAUAGCAUGGACCUGAACGCUAUUACAUUUCUUCACCUUACUUUCUACGUGUUUUGUCUCAGAAUACUCAUUUUACUUAUGUAUGAUGGCCUAUGUACAGAAUCGUACUCAUGACCUGAACAAGUAUCAAAGUGUUGGUCGACAGGUUCUUGUUGUAAUGGGAGGUGGAUCCAAUCGAUGUCCAUGUCAAAGAAAGAGCGACGUUGACAAUGUUUUACUUCGGGUGACUGUGGAGAAUGCACAGAGGAACAUUUUGUUUUAUAUUAUUGUAUAUUUAUUUUUUGGGAAAUGUUGGUAUGUUCAAGUGAUAUUCACUGUCAAAGAAACUGUGUGAAUUUAG
rnacentral:lncRNA from 1 species